UACGUAGGGUGCGAGCGUUGUCCGGAAUUACUGGGCGUAAAGAGCUCGUAGGCGGUUUGUCGCGUCUGCUGUGAAAACUCGGGGCUUAACUCCGGGCCUGCAGUGGUACGGGCAGACUAGAGUGCGGUAGGGGAGACUGGAAUUCCUGGUGUAGCGGUGAAAUGCGCAGAUAAUCAGGAGGAACACCGGUGGCGAAGGCGGGUCUCG
rnacentral:rRNA from 1 species